AUCUGUAACCAUAAUGGGCUUCAAAUUUUUUUUAGGGAUUCAUUGUUACCGUGCUUUGCCUCUUCCACUUCUCCUUCUCCGUUAAUCUUUGACUCCAGGGACAGUGGAUGCUUCUCCAACUUUUAGCCUCCCCUAUCAUUCAACGGGUUUCUCUUAAUUUUUCGCAAAAAGCAAUUAUCUCAAAGCGAAAGGCAGAGAGAAAACGUUAAGGGCAGAGCCCGACCCCUUCUUCUUCUUCGUGAAAAAGCUUCUGAAGCCCAGAAAAAGGAAGCAGUUUUAUAUUAAAUCUACUAGAUUUUUCAUCAGAUAAUUGACCCUAAAGCGAGCUUCUUUCACGUCUUCCCUUUUCAUCAUCUCAUCGUUCCAACUCCAUAUCUAUCACCCUCCCCCACUCUCUGUUCAUCUCAAAGACCGGAAACGCUCUUGAUGCUGCAGAGGGUAUUAGCCGUGAAGCUGAACGCCGAGGCUGUCCUGCGUCUAUCGUCUCCAACGACGAAUUCGACUCGGGCAAGGAGACUCUCCAGAUUCUUUUAAGGAAUUUUGGAGGUUUCUUCUUCAAAGAAACUUGGGAAACUCUUGGUUGCAACGAGUUCGCUUUGCAGUGUUUGGGCUAGGUGAUUCAGGUUAUCAGAAGUACAAUGUAAGUGCAUCUGCCACAUUGUGUCAUCUGUUUCACGUUCUUCUCAACAUACAUUUUAUUUCUGGUUCUGUUUUGAUGUAUUCAUCAAUAUGAAGGAAAAAAGUAGGCUUUACCGAGUAAAAAGUAUACUAGCUAACUAAAGAUUCCCACAACCAGAAAUCUUGAGAUGUGUCUGAAUUAUUGUUCCCUCCAAGAGAAGAUUUCUCAGAUGGUUCAGAUCGAACGCAGCGGCGCCACAACUGAUGUCAUGAAGAACUACUUCAUUGGGAGUGUGUUGAGCGGUGGAGGAAGUGUGCCAUCACCAAAGGCCACACCUGAAGCUUGGGUGAACAUGGUCAACGAGAUUCAGAAGGCUGCUCUUUCCACCCGCCUUGGGAUCCCCAUGAUCUAUGGGAUUGAUGCUGUCCACGGUCACAACAACAUGAAUGGCGCCACCAUUUUCCUUCACAAUGUGGGCCUUGGAGUCACCAGGCAAGUCUUUUAACUGUUCUAAUCUUCAUGACUAAAAUUUUGUAAGGCUAUUAACGUGAGACUAGCUUUAAUAUUUUUGUUUCUUUAUUUACUUAUCCUGUAGGUGAGGUGUGUUUAGAUUUAUGAAUCCAUUGUUUUUUUUGUCUCAUUAUGUUUUGUUGGAUUUUGUUUUCAUCAGGAGGCUUCAAAUGUCUCUGCAGUUGCGCAAAAGAGAUGGAAUCUGAAUGAUUUUGACAUUGGAAAGCCUCUUUGAAAAGGCAAGUUUGGUCACGCUUAUCUUGCUCGAGAGAAGCGGGUUAGUAUCCAUUCACACAUAACAUUUGUUUUAGAUCUUUACAUUGUUUUUUUUCCUCAAAUUCUCACACAUUGUAUGCAACUGUGAAAGAGAGCAACCACAUUGUCUCCCUGAAGGUUCUGUUCAAGACUCAGCUUCAACAAUCUCAAAUUGAGCAUCAGUUAAGAAGAGAAGUUGAGAUUCAGUCACAUCUUCGUAACCCCAAUAUACUCCGGCUCUAUGGUAACUUCUAUGAUCCGAAAAGGGUUUAUUUGAUACUUGAGUAUGCUGCUAGAGGCGAGCUUUACAAGGAGCUUCAGAAAUGCAAGUACUUCAGCGAAAGACGAGCUGCAACUGUUGGUGCAUUCCUUUUCCU